GCAUUGCCCACAUUCAUAUAG
rnacentral:miRNA from 1 species